rnacentral:rRNA from 1 species
CGUGCUAAUCUGCGAUAAGCGCCGGUAAGGUGAUAUGAACCGUUAUAACCGGCGAUUUCCGAAUGGGGAAACCCAGUGUGACUCGUCACACUAUCAUUAACUGAAUCCAUAGGUUAAUGAGGCGAACCGGGGGAACUGAAACAUCUAAGUACCCCGAGGAAAAGAAAUCAACCGAGAUUCCCCCAGUAGCGGCGAGCGAACGGGGAGGAGCCCAGAGCCUGAAUCAGCAUGUGUGUUAGUGGAAGCGUCUGGAAAGGCGCGCGAUACAGGGUGACAGCCCCGUACACAAAAGCGCAUGUGCUGUGAGCUCGAUGAGUAGGGCGGGACACGUGGUAUCCUGUCUGAAUAUGGGGGGACCAUCCUCCAAGGCUAAAUACUCCUGACUGACCGAUAGUGAACCAGUACCGUGAGG